rnacentral:rRNA from 1 species
UACGGAGGAUGCGAGCGUUAUCCGGAUUUAUUGGGUUUAAAGGGUGCGUAGGCGGAUUUUUAAGUCAGCGGCAAAAUGUCCGGGCUCAACCCGGGCCGGCCGUUGAAACUGGGGAUCUUGAGUGGGCGAGAAGUAUGCGGAAUGCGUGGUGUAGCGGUGAAAUGCAUAGAUAUCACGCAGAACUCCGAUUGCGAAGGCAGCAUACCGGCGCCCGACUGACGCUGAGGCACGAAAGCGUGGGGAUCGAACAGG